rnacentral:rRNA from 1 species
UACAGAGGGUGCAAGCGUUGUUCGGAAUUAUUGGGCGUAAAGGGCGCGUAGGCGGUGCGGUAAGUCUGCGGUGAAAUCUCCCGGCUCAACUGGGAGGCUGCCGUGGAAACUGCCGUGCUUGAGUGUGGGAGAGGUGAGUGGAAUUCCCGGUGUAGCGGUGAAAUGCGUAGAUAUCGGGAAGAACACCCGUGGCGAAGGCGGUUCUCUGGGACGGUACUGACGCUGAGACGCGAAAGCGUGGGGAGCGAACAGG